rnacentral:rRNA from 1 species
AACGAACGCUGGCGGCAUGCCUAACACAUGCAAGUCGAACGAGACCUUCGGGUCUAGUGGCGCACGGGUGCGUAACGCGUGGGAACCUGCCCUUAGGUUCGGAAUAACUCCCCGAAAGGGGUGCUAAUACCGGAUAAUGUCUUCGGACCAAAGAUUUAUCGCCUUUGGAUGGGCCCGCGUUGGAUUAGCUAGUUGGUAGGGUAAAAGCCUACCAAGGCGACGAUCCAAAGCUGGUCUGAGAGGAUGAUCAGCCACACUGGGACUGAGACACGGCCCAGACUCCUACGGGAGGCAGCAGUGGGGAAUAUUGGACAAUGGGCGAAAGCCUGAUCCAGCAAUGCCGCGUGAGUGAUGAAGGCCUUAGGGUUGUAAAGCUCUUUUACCCGGGAUGAUAAUGACAGUACCGGGAGAAUAAGCUCCGGCUAACUCCGU